rnacentral:rRNA from 1 species
UACGAGGGGGGCAAAUGUUGUUCGGAAUCACUGGGCGUAAAGGGAGCGUAGGCGGGCUCUUAAGUUAGGUGUUUAAUCCCGGGGCCCAACCCCGGUCGUGCACUUAAAACUGGGAGUCUUGAAUAGUGGAGAGGUCAGUGGAAUUGGGGGUGUAGCGGUGGAAUGCGUAGAGAUCCCCAAGAACACCAGUUGCGAAGGCGGCUGACUGGACACAUAUUGACGCUGAGGCUCGAAAGCAUGGGGAGCAAACAGGG